AGAUGUGUAUAAGGGACAGGUGAGUCAUCGAAUCUUUGAACGCACAUUGCGCCCGCUAGUAUUCUGGCGGGCAUGCCUGUUCGAGCGUCAUUUCAACCAUCAAGCCUCAGGCUUGUGUUGGGGCCCUGCGGCUGCCGCAGGCCCCUAAAAGCAGUGGCGGACUCGCUGUCAUACCGAGCGCAGUAACACAUCUCGCUCAGGGCGUGGCGGCGGGCACCAGCCGUAAAACUCUUACACCUAAGGUUGACCUCGGAUCAGGUAGGAAUACCCGCUGAACUUAAGCAUAUCAAUAAGCGGAGG
rnacentral:misc_RNA from 1 species